ACCUGUGCCUGGUGGGGAAGAUACUAUGAUCACAAAGGUGGUUCUUCCAGGGAAAGGCUCAGCCGUUGCACUGCGGUUGUGCUCGCCCCUGCAAAUUCCCCAAAUUUUCAAAUCUUGACUGCAUGAUUUCUGGUUGUGGGGCACUGUGUGGCUCAGUGGGCUAAGCCUCU